rnacentral:rRNA from 1 species
UACGUAGGGUGCAAGCGUUGUCCGGAAUUAUUGGGCGUAAAGAGCUCGUAGGCGGUUUGUCGCGUCUGCUGUGAAAAACUCGGGGCUUAACCCCGGGCCUGCAGUGGGUACGGGCAGACUAGAGUGUGGUAGGGGAGACUGGAAUUCCUGGUGUAGCGGUGAAAUGCGCAGAUAUCAGGAGGAACACCGAUGGCGAAGGCAGGUCUCUGGGCCACUACUGACGCUGAGAAGCGAAAGCAUGGGGAGCGAACAGG